rnacentral:rRNA from 1 species
UACGAAGGGGGCUAGCGUUGCUCGGAAUUACUGGGCGUAAAGCGCACGUAGGCGGCUCUUUAAGUCGGGGGUGAAAUCCUGGAGCUUAACUCCAGAACUGCCUUCGAUACUGGAGAGCUCGAGUCCGGGAGAGGUGAGUGGAACUGCGAGUGUAGAGGUGAAAUUCGUAGAUAUUCGCAAGAACACCAGUGGCGAAGGCGACUCACUGGCCCGGUACUGACGCUGAGGUGCGAAAGCGUGGGGAGCAAACAGG